rnacentral:rRNA from 1 species
UUUCCGUAGGUGAACCUGCGGAAGGAUCAUUU